UAUUGCACAUUUCUAAGUUGCA
rnacentral:miRNA from 1 species